rnacentral:misc_RNA from 1 species
GAUGAAGAACGCAGCGAAAUGCGAUAAGUAAUGUGAAUUGCAGAAUUCAGUGAAUCAUCGAAUCUUUGAACGCACAUUGCGCCCGCCAGUAUUCUGGCGGGCAUGCUUGUUCGAGCGUCAUUUCCACCAUCAGGCCCCCGGGCCUGUGUUGGGGACCUGCGGCUGCCCGCAGGCCCCGAAAUUCAGUGGCGGUCGCGCCGUAGCAACCGAGCGUAGUAACUAAAACGUCUCGCUCUGGCUCGCUGGGCGCGCUCCGGCCGUAAAACACCCCCCCUUUUCGCAAAGGUUGACCUCGGAUCAGGUAGGAAUACCCGCUGAACUUAAGCAUAUCAAUAAGCGGAGGA